UACGUAGGGUCCGAGCGUUGUCCGGAAUUAUUGGGCGUAAAGAGCGUGUAGGCGGCCAGAUAGGUCGGUUGUGAAAACUGGAGGCUCAACCUCCAGACGUCGAUCGAAACCAUCUGGCUAGAGUCCGGAAGAGGAGAAUGGAAUUCCUGGUGUAGCGGUGAAAUGCGCAGAUAUCAGGAAGAACACCCGUGGCGAAGGCGGUUCUCUGGGACGGUACUGACGCUGAGACGCGAAAGCGUGGGGAGCGAACAGG
rnacentral:rRNA from 1 species